rnacentral:rRNA from 1 species
GAGAUGCAUUUAUUAGAUAAAAAACCAAUACAUGCUUUUAAAGUAUGGAAUUUGGUGAUUUACAAUAACUUAGCAAAUCGCAUAGUGAAAACAGGCGAUAAAUCAUUCAAGUUUCUGACCUAUCAGCUUUCGACGGUAUGGUAUUGGCUUACCGUGGCAGUGACGGUUAACGGGGGAUUAGGGUUCGAUUCCGGAGAGGGAGCCUGAGAAACGGCUACCACAUCUAAGGAAGGCAGCAGGCGCGCAAAUUACCCAAUUCUAACAGCAUAAGAGAGGUAGUGACAAGAAAUAACAAUACAAGGCAGUUAAAAUGCUUUGUAAUUGGAAUGAUAGAAAUUUAAACACUUUUUAAAGUAUCAAUUGGAGGGCAAGUCUGGUGCCAGCAGCCGCGGUAAUUCCAGCUCCAAUAGCGUAUAUUAAAAUUGUUGCAGUUAAAAAGCUCGUAGUUGAAUUUCUGCUAAAAAUAACCGGUCUGCUUUUAAUAAAGGUGGUAUCUUGGUGUGUUUUUAGCAAUAAUGUCCUUUGAAAUGUUUAUUACUUCAUUGUAAUAAAUUAUUUUCAGGAUUUUUACUUUGAGAAAAUUAGAGUGUUUCUAGCAGGCUAACGCUUUGAAUACUGCAGCAUG